UACGGAGGGAGCUAGCGUUGUUCGGAAUUACUGGGCGUAAAGCGCACGUAGGCGGAUUGUUAAGUCAGGGGUGAAAUCCUGGAGCUCAACUCCAGAACUGCCUUUGAUACUGGCGAUCUCGAGUCCGGGAGAGGUGAGUGGAACUGCGAGUGUAGAGGUGAAAUUCGUAGAUAUUCGCAAGGACACCAGUGGCGAAGGCGGCUCACUGGCCCGGUACUGACGCUGAGGUGCGAAAGCGUGGGGAGCAAACAGG
rnacentral:rRNA from 1 species